AAAAGCUUAGACCGUUCAUAAGACAACUAAGAGACCAAAAGGGAGAAAAAAUCCAGAUGGAAUUGGAGCAUUGAAGUUCAUUAACGAUGAACCAGACAUAUUGCCUUCAAAACCACAUUGCAGUUACUAUGAAGCAAAAAAGUUCCAUUCUGAAACACCAAAUUUCUGUUGUUCUGACGGCGAAGUAGUUCUCCAGCAAAAAAAACUUCCAGAUAUUCUGAUAGAAUUAUAUACUGGUCGUUCCGAUGAAGCUGCCUCUUUCAGAACAUAUGUCAGGACGUACAACAAUAUGUUUGGCUUCACAUUUUUUGGAGUGCAUUAUGAUAAAUCCCUCUGCAAAAGAACUAAUGGCAUUUAUACAUUCAAAGUCCAAGGACAGACUUAUCACUUCAUCAAAGAUCUCAUUCCAUCUGGUGGUUCUGGCC